rnacentral:misc_RNA from 1 species
GAAAUGUUUAAGAGAUGUUGUAGUCAAGUUCAAAAAGGGUUCUGUUGAAUCUAUAUCAGUUGGUGAACUUAGACUUGGCAUACGGCAAUCCUUGGUAAAACUUGGGGUUGAUUUCAUUUCUAGGGAUCCAAAGCUACAAGUGCUUAUAUGUGACUUUGAAGUUGUAAUGAGGUCUUCUAGCAAAGGCACUCAUAAAACUAAAACUCGAAAAGUCCGAACCCGCACUUCAAGCCAGGGAAAGUGGACGAUGUUAGCUAACAUAGCAAGAUUUUUG